rnacentral:rRNA from 1 species
AGCGGCGGACGGGUGAGUAACGCGUGGGUAACCUGCCCUGUACACACGGAUAACAUACCGAAAGGUAUGCUAAUACGGGAUAAUAUGCUUUUAUCGCAUGGUAGAAGUAUCAAAGCUCCGGCGGUACAGGAUGGACCCGCGUCUGAUUAGCUAGUUGGUAAGGUAACGGCUUACCAAGGCGACGAUCAGUAGCCGACCUGAGAGGGUGAUCGGCCACAUUGGAACUGAGACACGGUCCAAACUCCUACGGGAGGCAGCAGUGGGGAAUAUUGCACAAUGGGCGAAAGCCUGAUGCAGCAACGCCGCGUGAGCGAUGAAGGCCUUCGGGUCGUAAAGCCCUGUCCUCAAGGAAGAUAAUGACGGUACUUGAGGAGGAAGCCCCGGCUAACUACGUGCCAGCAGCCGCGGUAAUACGUAGGGGGCUAGCGUUAUCCGGAAUUACUGGGCGUAAAGGGUGCGUAGGUGGUUUCUUAAGUCAGAGGUGAAAGGCUACGGCUCAACCGUAGUAAGCCUUUGAAACUGGGAAACUUGAGUGCAGGAGAGGAGAGUGGAAUUCCUAGUGUAGCGGUGAAAUGCGUAGAUAUUAGGAGGAACACCAGUUGCGAAGGCGGCUCUCUGGACUGUAACUGACACUGAGGCACGAAAGCGUGGGGAGCAAACAGGAUUAGAUACCCUGGUAGUCCACGCCGUAAACGAUGAGUACUAGCUGU